rnacentral:rRNA from 1 species
CCUACGGGUGGCUGCAGUGGGGAAUAUUGCACAAUGGGCGAAAGCCUGAUGCAGCAACGCCGCGUGAGCGAUGAAGGCCUUUGGGUCGUAAAGCUCUGUCCUUGGGGAAGAAAAAAAUGACGGUACCCUUGGAGGAAGCCCCGGCUAACUACGUGCCAGCAGCCGCGGUAAUACGUAGGGGGCAAGCGUUAUCCGGAAUUAUUGGGCGUAAAGAGUGCGUAGGUGGUUUUGUAAGCGCGGGGUGAAAGGCAAUAGCUCAACUAUUGUAAGCCCUGCGAACUGUGAGACUUGAGUGCAGGAGAGGAAAGCGGAAUUCCUAGUGUAGCGGUGAAAUGCGUAGAUAUUAGGAGGAACACCAGUGGCGAAGGCGGCUUUCUGGACUGUAACUGACACUGAGGCACGAAAGCGUGGGGAGCAAACAGGAUUAGAUACCCUAGUAGUCA